GUAGGAUCGAGAGCCUCAAGCAAUCGUGCAGACUUAUCUCGACGCGUGCGACUUUGGAAACUUGAUAUAUGUACAUUCAUGUUUCCCCAGGCAACUCCGUUACUCGACACCGUGAACUUUCCAGUGCACCUGAAAAACCUCGCUGUUGAUCAGCUUCAACAGGCAAGAUCCUUAUCCUGAGCCCCAGUGCAACCGUACCGCCUAAUUUGAUGGACUCCUCUCCCGCAGGUUGCAAAAGAGCUUCGCGCAGAUUUGAUCUACAACGUGUCUCAGACCGGUGGACAUCUUGGAUCAAGGUAUAUCCUACCUAUCUACAUGGGCCUUGUUUGAAUUUUGCACUGAUCAUUGAUGUAAAUUUCUCUUGGCACAGUUUGGGCGUCAUCGAGCUCACCGUUGCAUUGAACUACGUCUUCGACCAGCCUAAUGUGAGGAUUAGCGUAUGUUACGAUAUCAAUCUUCACAAAACAUGAUCUGUGUUAAGCUUAUAAACAAUUCGGAGACCCUUUCUGAAGGAUCGGAUCAUCUGGGACGUCGGACACCAGGCGCGAGAUAUUUGCUGUGCACAUUACAGUGACUUCUGAUGAUAAUUAGUUUUGCAGGCUUAUCCACACAAAAUGUUGACCGGUCGGCGGGACAGGAUGAGCACCAUGCGACAAACAAACGGUUUGUCAUUUUUUCGUGCAUUCGUUUUGUUUAUUUCUUUAAGAUGAUUUCUUCUCUUCCAGGUUUAUCGCCAUUUACAAAGCGCAGCGAGAGCCCGUUUGACUGCUUUGGAGCUGGUCACAGCAGCACUUCGAUUUCCGCUGGACUUGGUAUGGCGGUUGCUCGAGAUAUGCAGGGUAGAUCAAAUCACGUAAUUGCCGUUAUUGGCGAUGGUGCCAUUACCGGUGGGAUGGCAUACGAGGCGAUGAACAAUGCAGGAUAUUUGGACACGAAUAUG
rnacentral:lncRNA from 1 species